rnacentral:rRNA from 1 species
AGCGUGGAGACAGGUGGUGCAUGGCUGUCGUCAGCUCGUGUCGUGAGAUGUUGGGUUAAGUCCCGCAACGAGCGCAACCCUCACCCCUUGUUGCCAUCAGGUCAUGCUGGGCACUCUAGGGGAACUGCCCCGGUCAACGGGGAGGAAGGCGGGGAUGACGUCAAGUCAUCAUGCCCCUUACGCCCUGGGCUACACACGUGCUACAAUGGCCGGUACAAAGGGAUGCAACGCCGUGAGGCAGAGCCAAACCCAAAAAGCCGGUCUAAGUUCAGAUUGGAGUCUGCAACUCGACUCCAUGAAGGAGGAAUCGCUAGUAAUCGCGUAUCAGCACGACGCGGUGAAUACGUUCCCGGGCCCUGUACACACCGCCCGUCACACCACGAAAGCCUGCUGUACUCGAAGUCGCUGAG